rnacentral:rRNA from 1 species
UCCUCCCUCUUUCUUCGUGCUUAACACAUGCAAGUCGAACGGAAAGGCCCUGCUUGCCGGGUGCUCGAGUGGCGAACGGGUGAGUAACACGUGGGUGAUCUGCCCCUUACUUUGGGAUAAGCCUGGGAAACUGGGUCUAAUACUGGAUAGGACCAUGCUGUAGGUGGUGUGGUGGAAAGAUUAGUUUCGGUAAGGGAUGAGCUCGCGGCCUAUCAGCUUGUUGGUGGGGUAAUGGCCUACCAAGGCGUCGACGGGUAGCCGGCCUGAGAGGGUGGACGGCCACAUUGGGACUGAGAGACGGCCCAGACUCCUACGGGAGGCAGCAGUGGGGAAUAUUGCACAAUGGGCGCAAGCCUGAUGAAGCGACGCCGCGUGGGGGAUGACGGCCUUCGGGUUGUAAACUCCUUGCAGCCAUGACGAAGCCCUUGUGGUGACGGUAGUGGUAGAAGAAGCACCGGCUAACUACGUG